UUUGCACUGUAAAAAAAUCAUCGUCAUACAUAAAUAUAAUAAGAUAACAAUUUAUACUCUUAGCUGUAUGAUUUAACCAGAAAACAGUUUUUAGAAAGUAUACAGUUUAAUCGCUAGUUUAUUAGGUUAUGUUGAUAUCAAAUAUGGUUUUUACUUGAUAAAAUAACGCUGAUAACACAUAUCUUUAAUUCUAAAAUUAAAUAUUGCUCAAUCCACAAAAAAAAAAAAGCUCUGAAAAAGAAUGAUGUAAAUAUAAUAUUUUUACAAAGUAAGUAAUAUUAUGGACAACUUCUCAGAAACGCAACAGGACAUAAACAAAAUGAGGAUAGCUGUUUUACUAAGACAAGGUGCUUCAAGAAGGCCUUACGAUCUUGUCACAGAGCAUCAUGGAUGAGCAUUUAACUUGGAACUUCACGCCUCCUUCCUUACCGAUAACGUUAAAUAUGCCUAAAGCUUCCAUCGAAUCUUGGAUCUCCUGCUUUUAAAGCACUCUAACCACUGUGCCAUGGCUGUUUAUUAUAUUUCAAGAUAAAAAAAUUUGGUGAUUUUAUUAAAGAGAUUUAAUCAUUUUAUUUA